rnacentral:rRNA from 1 species
ACGUACACUCCUGCGGGAGGCAGCAGUAGGGAAUCUUCGGCAAUGGGGGCAACCCUGACCGAGCAACGCCGCGUGAGUGAAGAAGGUUUUCGGAUCGUAAAGCUCUGUUGUAAGUCAAGAACGAGUGUGAGAGUGGAAAGUUCACACUGUGACGGUAGCUUACCAGAAAGGGACGGCUAACUACGUGCCAGCAGCCGCGGUAAUACGUAGGUCCCGAGCGUUGUCCGGAUUUAUUGGGCGUAAAGCGAGCGCAGGCGGUUUGAUAAGUCUGAAGUUAAAGGCUGUGGCUCAACCAUAGUUCGCUUUGGAAACGGUCAAACUUGAGUGCAGAAGGGGAGAGUGGAAUUCCAUGUGUAGCGGUGAAAUGCGUAGAUAUAUGGAGGAACACCGGUGGCGAAAGCGGCUCUCUGGUCUGUAACUGACGCUGAGGCUCGAAAGCGUGGGGAGCGAACAGGAUUAGAAACCCUAGUAGUCCCA